GAUCCUGCCAGUAGUCAUACGCUCGUCUCAAAGAUUAAGCCAUGCAUGUGUAAGUAUAAAUAAUUCUACUUUGAAACUGCGAAUGGCUCAUUAUAUCAGUUAUAGUUUAUUAGAAAAAAUGUACUACUUGGAUAACCGUAGUAAUUCUAGGGCUAAUACAUGAGUAAAUCCUCGACUUUGAAGAGGUGUGUUUAUUAGUAUGAAAACCAUAUGCUUNGGCAUGAUAGUGAGUAAUAAUAACCUUUCAUAUCGUAUGUUGAAAUAACGAUAGUUCUUUCAAGUUUCUGCCCUAUCAGCUUUCGAUGGUAGUGCAUUGGACUACCAUGGCAGUAACGGGUAACGAAGAAUUUGGGUUCGAUUUCGGAGAGGGAGCCUGAGAGAUGGCUACCACAUCCAAGGAAGGCAGCAGGCGCGUAAAUUACCCAAUCCUGACAUAGGGAGGUAGUGACAAUAAAUCACAAUGCGGGACUUUUAGUUUUGCAAUUGGAUUGAGAACAAUGGAAAAGAGUUAUCGAUAAACAAUUGGAGGGCAAGUCUGGUGCCAGCAGCCGCGGUAAUUCCAGCUCCAAUAGCGUAUAUUAACGUUGUUGCA
rnacentral:rRNA from 1 species